CUACGGGUGGCUCCAGUGGGGAAUAUUGGGCAAUGGGCGAAAGCCUGACCCAGCAACGCCGCGUGAGGGAAGAAGGUUUUCGGAUUGUAAACCUCUGUCCUUGGUGACGAACACAAUGACGGUAGCCAAGGAGGAAGCCCCGGCUAACUACGUGCCAGCAGCCGCGGUAAUACGUAGGGGGCAAGCGUUGUCCGGAUUGACUGGGCGUAAAGGGCGUGUAGGCGGCCGAUUAAGUCUGGAGUGAAAGUCCUGCUUUCAAGGUGGGAAUUGCUUUGGAUACUGGUUGGCUUGAGUGCGGAAGAGGUAAGUGGAAUUCCCAGUGUAGCGGUGAAAUGCGUAGAGAUUGGGAGGAACACCAGUGGCGAAGGCGACUUACUGGGCCGUAACUGACGCUGAGGCGCGAAAGCGUGGGGAGCGAACAGGAUUAGAUACCCUGGUAGUC
rnacentral:rRNA from 1 species